rnacentral:rRNA from 1 species
GAUGAACGCUGGCGGCGUGCCUAAUACAUGCAAGUCGAGCGAACGGACGAGAAGCUUGCUUUUCUGAUGUUAGCGGCGGACGGGUGAGUAACACGUGGAUAACCUACCUAUAAGACUGGGAUAACUUCGGGAAACCGGAGCUAAUACCGGAUAAUAUUUUGAACCGCGUGGUUCAAAAGUGAAAGACGGUCUUGCUGUCACUUAUAGAUGGAUCCGCGCUGCAUUAGCUAGUUGGUAAGGUAACGGCUUACCAAGGCAACGAUGCACAGCCGACCUGAGAGGGUGAUCGGCCACACUGGAACUGAGACACGGUCCAGACUCCUACGGGAGGCAGCAGUAGGGAAUCUUCCGCAAUGGGCGAAAGCCUGACGGAGCAACGCCGCGUGAGUGAUGAAGGUCUUCGGAUCGUAAAACUCUGUUAUUAGGGAAGAACAUAUGUGUAAGUAACUGUGCACAUCUUGACGGUACCUAAUCAGAAAGCCACGGCUAACUACGUGCCAGCAGCCGCGGUAAUACGUAGGUGGCAAGCGUUAUCCGGAAUUAUUGGGCGUAAAGCGCGCGUAGGCGGUUUUUUAAGUCUGAUGUGAAAGCCCACGGCUCAACCGUGGAGGGUCAUUGGAAACUGGAAAACUUGAGUGCAGAAGAGGAAAGUGGAAUUCCAUGUGUAGCGGUGAAAUGCGCAGAGAUAUGGAGGAACACCAGUGGCGAAGGCGACUUUCUGGUCUGUAACUGACGCUGAUGUGCGAAAGCGUGGGGAUCAAACAGGAUUAGAUACCCUGGUAGUCCACGCCGUAAACGAUGAGUGCUAAGUGUUAGGGGGUUUCCGCCCCUUAGUGCUGCAGCUAACGCAUUAAGCACUCCGCCUGGGGAGUACGACCGCAAGGUUGAAACUCAAAGGAAUUGACGGGGACCCGCACAAGCGGUGGAGCAUGUGGUUUAAUUCGAAGCAACGCGAAGAACCUUACCAAAUCUUGACAUCCUUUGACAACUCUAGAGAUAGAGCCUUCCCCUUCGGGGGACAAAGUGGCAGGUGGUGCAUGGUUGUCGUCAGCUCGUGUCGUGAGAUGUUGGGUUAAGUCCCGCAACGAGCGCAACCCUUAAGCUUAGUUGCCAUCAUUAAGUUGGGCACUCUAAGUUGACUGCCGGUGACAAACCGGAGGAAGGUGGGGAUGACGUCAAAUCAUCAUGCCCCUUAUGAUUUGGGCUACACACGUGCUACAAUGGACAAUACAAAGGGCAGCGAAACCGCGAGGUCAAGCAAAUCCCAUAAAGUUGUUCUCAGUUCGGAUUGUAGUCUGCAACUCGACUACAUGAAGCUGGAAUCGCUAGUAAUCGUAGAUCAGCAUGCUACGGUGAAUACGUUCCCGGGUCU